GCGGUGGUAGUUCAGUGGUAGAAUUCGUGCCCUCCAUGGGGGAGACCUGGGUUCGAUUCCCAGCUAAUUCA
rnacentral:tRNA from 1 species